rnacentral:tRNA from 1 species
AGAGGACUGAAAAUCCUCGUGUCACCAGUUCAAAAAA